ACUAACCAUCGAUCACUCUGGUACCAACCGUCACCCCCUUGUGUGCGGCUGCGGGCGUGCUUUGCACGCCUCUGCCAGUCGCCGGGCGCCGGUCCCCUUGCUGGGGCUCUCCGUAGCCGCAGCCAGGUCCGGCGGGCGUCGCCCCCCGGCGGUGUCCCCCCAUUCCUUUUCGGAGGGUGGGGGGCCCGCUGCGGGUGGAGGCGUCGGUAAUUCGUAACCAACCCAACCCACCCCAAACCUCAACCACACCUGAAGCAAACCUGUGGUGGCAGCGCUUGUCGCUCCACCCCAAACCAAAGACAACUCUCAACAACGGAUAUCUUGGCUCCCGUAUCGAUGAAGAACGCAGCGAAAUGCGAUACGUAGUGUGAAUUGCAGAAUUCCGUGAACCAUCGAAUCUUUGAACGCAAAUUGCGCCCGAGGCUUCGGCCGAGGGCAUGUCUGCCUCAGCGUCGGCUUACCCCCUCGCCUCCCCCUCCUCUUUUGAGUAGUGGGAGUGCGGACCUGGCCUUCCCGGCUCCACUGUCUCGGUCUUACCGCCGUUUCAGUGCCCGGGUCGGCUGAAGUGCAGAGGCUUGAGCAUGGACCCCGUUUGCAGGGCAAUGGCUUGGUAGGUAGCUCGCGCUACGCAACCUGCCGUCGCCCGAGGGGCCUUUGCUGGCGGCCCAGCAGGAAUCCGGGUGCGGCCUUGCCGCCGCCCCGGACGCUUCAUCACUUCGACCUGAGCUCAGGCAAGACUACCCGCUGAAUUUAAAGCAUAUU
rnacentral:rRNA from 1 species